rnacentral:rRNA from 1 species
AUGCCACCAUCUAAUUUUGAUUACCCGCAGAGGGAGAUUGGAGAUACUCAACGGAGAUUUAAUCCAGAUUGGUUUAAUGAUUAUGGUCGUCGGCUUGAGUAUAGUGACAAAGUGCAUAAGGCCUUCUGUUUGUGCUGCUACCUUUUCAGAUAUUACAAUGAAGGACAAGCCGGGAGUGAUGCAUUUGCUAUUAACGGUUGGAACGGUUGGAACAAGAAAAGCAGACUUGAUACUCAUGAGGGUAAGGGUAAUGUUAAUAGCUUUCAUAAUGUGGUAGUAAAAAGAUGUGAUGCUUUGAUGAAUCAAGAACAGUCAAUUCAUGUAGCUAUGGAUAAGCAAACUGAUCUUACACAAAAGCAAAAUCGAAUCCGUCUUAAUGCUUUCAUUGAUUCGGUGAGAUACUUGUUGCAUCAAGGCUUAGCAUUCCGAGGCCAUGACGAAUCAGAGGAGACCCAAAAUAAGGGAAAUUUUCGAGAGUUGGUAGAUACUUUGGCAAACCAAAAUGAAGCUAUACGGAAUGUAGUUCUUAAGAAUGCUCCAAAAAACUGUAAGUGGGUAUGUGGAGAUAUUCAAAAGGAAAUUGCAAAUUAUUUUUGCAAAGGUAACAUUAAAUUUUAG